rnacentral:rRNA from 1 species
AGUGAACGCUGGCGGUAGGCCUAACACAUGCAAGUCGAACGGCAGCACAGUAAGAGCUUGCUCUUACGGGUGGCGAGUGGCGGACGGGGGAGGGAUACAUCGGAAUCUACUUUUUCGUGGGGGAUAACGUAGGGAAACUUACGCUAAUACAGCAUACGACCUACGGGUGAAAGCAAGGGACCUUCGGACCUUGCGCGAUUGGAUGAGCCGAUGUCGGGUUAGCUAGUUGGAGGGGUAAAGGCCCACCAAGGCGACGAUCCGUAGCUGGUCUGAGAGGAUGAUCAGCCACACUGGGACUGAGACACGGCCCAGACUCCUACGGGAGGCAGCAGUGGGGAAUAUUGGACAAUGGGCGCAAGCCUGAUCCAGCCAUACCGCGUGGGUGAAGAAGGCCUUCGGGUUGUAAAGCGCUUUUGUUGGGAAAGAAAAGCAGCAGGUUAAUACCCCGCUGUUCUGACGGUACCCAAAGAAUAAGCACCGGCUAACUUCGUG